UGUCGAAAGACUCAUUAAGUACCUGAAUGUAAUUGCAUCCAUGACCGGAGAAUAUGUUUCUUCAUAAUCAACUCCUGGUCUUUGAGAGAAACCUUGUGCAACAAGUCGGGCUUUAUAUCGUGUGAUCUCAUCUUUUUCAUUUCUUUUUCGCACGAAUACCCACUUGUAUCCAACAGGUUUUACACUCUCAGAUGCAGUGACAAUAGGUCCAAAGACAUUUCUUUUAUUAAGGGAGUGCAACUCAACUUGCAUGGCAUUUUUCCAUUUCUCCCAAUCCGGCCUUUUCUGGCACUCGGAUAAUGUCUUUGGAUCUGGAUCAUCAUUCUCUUGAUCGAUCUCUUUAGAUAAAGAAAAGGAGAAUAUUCCAUUAUCAUCAUCAAUAUCAUCUCUAUCCCAUAUGAUACCAUCAUGGGCAUAGUUAAUGGAAAUCUCAUACUUUUCUCUAUCGUCCCGAGGACUUGGUUCUUCUUGAAGAACCUUUUCAUUUUCUUCUCCCAAUUUCUUUUUCUUUCGGGGAUUUUUAUCUUUUGAGCCAAUAGGCCUCCCACGCUUUAAUUGAACCUUAGGUUCAUUAAUUUUGCUCCCAUCUAAUUCCAGCUCACUAGGAAUUUUAACUCUUGAUGGGGCAUUUGCAGCGGGGAUAUAUGACUUUGUCACUUUUCUUGUAUCGGUGAACGAAUCUGGUAAUUGAUUU
rnacentral:sRNA from 1 species